GCCGUUGAGGGCCGUGGUGGCCGCCCCUCAUCAUAAUGACUGGUAACAUUUCUGAAUGGGGACACGGAGGUUCGAUUCCUCCCGACGGUA